rnacentral:rRNA from 1 species
GACGAACGCUGGCGCCUGCCUUACCCAUGCCAGUUGGACGGGAAGGGCCCUGCUUUGUUGGGGUGCCCGAUGGCCGAACGGGUGAUUAACACGUGAGUAACCUGCCCUUUACUUGGGGAUAACUUCAGGAACCUGGGGCUAAUACCGGUUAGAACUUCUUCCUGCAUGGUGGGGGUUGGAAAGUUUCGGCGGUUGGGGAUGGACUCGCGGCUUAUCAGCUUGUUGGUGGGGUAGUGGCUUACCAAGGCUUUGACGGGUAGCCGGCCUGAGAGGGUGACCGGCCACAUUGGGACUGAGAUACGGCCCAGACUCCUACGGGAGGCAGCAGUGGGGAAUAUUGCACAAUGGGCGGAAGCCUGAUGCAGCAACGCCGCGUGCGGGAUGACGGCCUUCGGGUUGUAAACCGCUUUCGCCUGUGACGAAGCGUGAGUGACGGUAAUGGGUAAAGAAGCACCGGCUAACUACGUG